CUCACACCGGUCUGAACUCAAAUCAUGUAAAACUUUAAAGGUCGAACAGACCUUCUCUUAUAGUCUCUACUCUAUAAAGAACCUUUAAUUCAACAUCGAGGUCGCAAACUCUCUUGUCGAUAAGAACUCUUAAAGAAAAUUACGCUGUUAUCCCUAAAGUAACUUAAUCUUCAAUCCCUUUUAGGAUCAAUAAUUCAAACAUUAUUGUAAGAACAAAAGACAGUUAUCCUUACCUUAUAUCCUUGUCGCCCCAACAAAACAAUUUAAAAUAGUAACCUUAAAAUAAAAUUAAUCUCCACCUUAAAAUAUAAAGUUUUAUAGGGUCUUAUCGUCCCCUUAGAUCAUUUAAGCCUUUUCACUCAAAAGUUAAAUUCAAUAUAUUAAUUUAAGACAGAUUAUUUCUUGUCCAACCAUUCAUUCUAGCCUUCAAUUAAAAAACUAAUGAUUAUGCUACCUUUGCACGGUCAUAAUACCGCGGCCUUUCAGUUCUCCAAC
rnacentral:rRNA from 1 species